rnacentral:rRNA from 1 species
AUACGGAGGAUCCGAGCGUUAUCCGGAUUUAUUGGGUUUAAAGGGUGCGCAGGCGGCCAUUUAAGUCAGCGGUUAAAUCGUGGGGCUCAACCCCAUUCUGCCGUUGAUACUGGGUGGCUUGAUUGCGGUCGAGGUUGGCGGAAUUCGUUGUGUAGCGGUGAAAUGCAUAGAUAUGACGAAGAACACCGAUUGCGUAGGCAGCUGACCAGAUCGCAAAUGACGCUUAUGCACGAAAGUGCGGGGAUCGAACAGGAUUAGAUACCCUGGUAGUCCGCACAGUAAACGAUGAAUACUUGUUUUCGGCGAUAUAAUGUCGGAGGCAAAGCGAAAGCGAUAAGUAUUCCACCUGGGGAGUACGCCGGCAACGGUGAAACUCAAAUGAAUUGACGGGG